rnacentral:rRNA from 1 species
CAGCCGCCACGGGAAUACGGAGGAUCCGAGCGUUAUCCGGAAUUAUUGGGUUUAAAGGGUGCGUAGGCGGAUAGAUAAGUCAGUGGUGAAAGACGGUGGCUCAACCAUCGCAGUGCCGUUGAUACUGUUUAUCUUGAAUAUGGAUGAGGUAGGCGGAAUGUGGCAAGUAGCGGUGAAAUGCAUAGAUAUGCCACAGAACACCGUUUGCGAAGGCAGCUUACCAAGGCAAAAUUGACGCUGAGGCACGAAAGCGUGGGGAUCGAACAGGAUUAGAUACCCCUGUAGUCCCUGUCUCUUAUAC